GGUCAAGUCAGGGGUGGAGACAAUGCGGGCCCCUCCCCCGCUGAUUCAGCGCCUCUCCUAAUGAGGUGAGGCCUCAGGUUUAGGAAGGGUUGCCACACCCACUGGUAGGGGGAGGGUCUGUGAUUCUGUAACUGGAGGAUAGGUAGGGGGCUUCGGUUGUAGACUGAGUAGGGAGCUGACCUAAGCCGGUAGAUUCAAGUACUGCCCGAGAGAUCUCUGCCUUUCCGCCCCACACCCCAGUCACCCCGCGCCAGGCUCUCGGCGCGUCAGAUCCCGGCCCUGCGUUCUUCAUCUCCUGCCCCGCCACGCCCCCAACUGCAGAUCCAACUCGGGUCUCUCCGAAAGCAGCAAGGAGCCUCGGGGUGGGCUCUAUGCCCCGUGAUGCUCCGCGUCUGGGAACGGAUGAAGGGGUGCCAGCAACCCCCGCCGUCCCCGCUGUCGAUCCGGGUUUACACGAGGCUCAUCCGGGAUUAGUCCCUGCGGUCGGCUAAUCCCAGCGGCUGGACCGACCCCGGGGUCCGGAGCGAGGCCCACACAGUACCGGCCUAGGGAGCUAGGGCGCGGGUCGAGCAAAAGCGCGCGACGCUGGGCGGGUGUGGGGGUGGGGAGGGGCGGAGGAGGGAGCAACGCCCCGGGAGGCGGGGCCAGGAACCGGCUGAUCCGGUCUCUGUUUUCCGACCUCUCCGGAGCGGGUGUUUACCCGGGAGCCGGACGGAGGAGGCCGGGGCCGGUCGAGCCCGGAAGGGGGGAGGGGAGCGCAGUCGGAGACCGAGGCUGAGACCUUUUCGGUUCCUUUCCCCUAAAUCGACUUCCAACCCUCGUUCCUGAGCGUGGGAGAACGCGGCAGACAGACAGAUGUCUCCCGCCCCUUAUCCUAUCCAGUUCCGCAAUUCACACUCGUUGCCAAAGAGUGGGGAGCGGGAAUGGAUACACCCGGGAACGACUGCACGUCCUGCGGGCGCCCGGGGAAGAAGGCAGCGCAGCACAAAACCUCUCCUGCGGUCACCUCCCACCCCAUCCUGCACCUGAGUUCUUGCGGGGAGGGGGUGCCCACAGCAGGUCGGGCCCAGAGGAUCCGGCAGGGGUCACUUUGAGGUGUACGGACUAGGAGUCUAUCCUCAGAACGCGUCAGCUCGACCCCAUCCCCGAUUAAUACCAGUGCGGGUCUCAGUCUCUUGUCCCUCGCGUCCCCCAGCCCUCUCCAAGGCCUCCAGAUUUAGCUCCCACUCUCCACGGGACGCAGGCCCGAGGACCCGGAAGAAGCUGAGUGGGGUCCGGUUUUCACACUUUUAUUGUAAAGCUCGGGAAUAAUUACACGGGUCUUUCAUUGACAGCUCAGCAAACAAACCGGAAACGAACCGAACCGGAGGGGGUAGGGGCGGUGCCUGCGCAUGCUCGCGGCGGGGUGGGGGGGGGUGGGGGUGGGGGUGGGGGGGUCAGAGAAAGAGAAAGACAGAAAGAGACAGAAAUCAUUACAAAUCAACGGGAUUGUGCUCGCAGCGCCAGGGAUGGGGUGGGGUGGGGCGGGGCGGGGGCCCUUCCCGGGAGGAGCGAGGCAGUGGGAAGUGGCACAGUCAUCCCACCCCUGUCCAGCUGCCCCCCACAGCCUCAGGGCCCCUCUGUGAUGCUCAUCUGGAUGUGGGAGGCCAGCCUGAGCGGGGAUCCCCCCAGGGCACAGCGCAACAGUUCCAAAAAAAUAGAGAUUUGUAUUUUUAAGAAAAAUUAAAUAAAAGCCCAGCUCUGCUGAUAGGCAAAUGUUACCCCCGUCCCCACCCCCACCCACCCGUUGUUUCCCUGGCCUGCACCCCCAUCCCACCAUGGCCCCAGGGGUAUUUACAACAUGGAACAAUAGAGGCCUGGGUUGGGGGGCACUGCGGCAGGGAGGAGGGGGCACAGGGCAGGUCCCCCCCCAGAGGGGUCCCCCAAGACAACACGACAUCAACAAGAAAAGUUGCAAAUCAGGCAGAAAUGGGGACGUCAUUCCAAGGUCCUUAUAUACAGACACUGCAUGACCAGCAGGGAAUGGGGGCCCAGAUGGGACUAGGCGUGGGCAUGUGGCAGGCAGGUGG
rnacentral:lncRNA from 10 species